GGCGGCAGGCCUAACACAUGCAAGUCGAGCGGAAACGAAGAGGAGCUUGCUCCUUUGGCGUCGAGCGGCGGACGGGUGAGUAAUGCUUGGGAAUGUGCCUUAUGGUGGGGGACAACAGUUGGAAACGACUGCUAAUACCGCAUAAUGUCUUCGGACCAAAGUGGGGGACCUUCGGGCCUCACGCCAUAAGAUCAGCCCAAGUGGGAUUAGCUAGUUGGUAAGGUAAUGGCUUACCAAGGCGACGAUCCCUAGCUGGUUUGAGAGGAUGAUCAGCCACACUGGGACUGAGACACGGCCCAGACUCCUACGGGAGGCAGCAGUGGGGAAUAUUGCACAAUGGGCGCAAGCCUGAUGCAGCCAUGCCGCGUGUGUGAAGAAGGCCUUCGGGUUGUAAAGCACUUUCAGUAAGGAGGAAAGGUUAAGUGUUAAUAGCACUUAGCUGUGACGUUACUUACAGAAGAAGCACCGGCUAACUCCGUGCCAGCAGCCGCGGUAAUACGGAGGGUGCGAGCGUUAAUCGGAAUUACUGGGCGUAAAGCGUACGCAGGCGGUUUGUUAAGCGAGAUGUGAAAGCCCCGGGCUCAACCUGGGAACUGCAUUUCGAACUGGCAAACUAGAGUGUGAUAGAGGGUGGUAGAAUUUCA
rnacentral:rRNA from 1 species